AAGCUUUCCCUGAGGAUCCUCCAGUAGAAAUUUAUGACCUAGACUUGCCUGAUUCUGAAGAGAAAGACUUGCCUGAUUCUGAAGAGAAAGACUUGCCUGAUUCUGAAGAGAGAAACUCAAUCGCUGAACAAGAAAUUGGAAACCUACCUGAGGAAGAUCUGGAUAAUGUCCAUCCUCCUACUCAACCUGCUCAGGAGAGCGAAGAAAACACAAGUGAUCUGGGUCAAACAGACAACCAAAAUGAAAGUGACUGUUCGGGAAGACCUGUCAGGGACAGAAAAGCGACUAAAAGACUGACUUAUCCAGAGCUAGGAAACCCGUUGAUUACAAUAGUUCAGUCUUUAUUUCAAACUUUGAGUGAUGUGUUUACAGACUCUCUUGAAGAACCUAGCCUUCCAAGAACCCCUAGAGUUAUGACAGCAUAGAUUCAACAUGCACAGGGACGUGCAUUAGGUAAAGAGGGGAGGAUGUAACCCAUGUUAAAACCUGACAUAGGUAGGAUUAAACAAAGUUGAUUAAAAGUCUGUAGACAGAAAUAACGUCCCUGCCCCUUUAAGAAACCAGCGUCACAGACGCUGCAUCUGGGUGACGCUGCAGUGCACAGACUAGAGCGAGAGAGAGAGAGAGAGCAGAGGAGGAGUCGGAGGAAAAGAGCGGUGAUUAAUUAACAGAAAAAGUUAAUAUUAUAGUUAAAAAAACAUAAUUUACCUGGUCGGGAACGGACAGGGAUUUUAUGAGAACCAAAUUACAUCGGUUUUGGUCGGGUUUUUUUGUUCGGUUGGAAGCUCGGUCGGAGUGAAGAUUGGUCUGCGGUGUGCGGUGUGCACGUUCACAGACGGGAUUCCAGAUGGCGAGCCAGACCUAGACCUUCAAUUCAUCUUUUCCAUCGCAUCAAGGAGAGACUCUCUUGCGUGUGGUAAUUGCUGCCGGAGCGGUAGGAAUAUCAGGAACCAGUUCAAAUCGAAUUGAACAGAACUGAGAACUGUUUGAAUUAUUAUUUUGUUUUUGGACUGAAUCAACUGAGACUUUUUGUUGAAUUGAACAUCUGAACUUGCAUUGAGACUUGAAUUUGAAUUUAAAGUGCCAUACUUUGAUUUUCAUAUGUUUGUGUCUCUGAAUGUGAUUUGAAAGAUUGUGGUCCGUUUUGAUUUACUUGUGUUUGAAGGUAUUUACCUACCUGAAAAAGAAUGGAUAACGAGUUAACUCAGGAAGAAAAACAGGAAUCUUAAAAUAGGUGCAACCUAGGAAAAAAUAGAUUGGUCUAAUUAGAUUAGUCUUAUUAAAACAAACUAGGUAAACUAAAGAGUAAAAAGAAGAGUGGUAUACUUUCUUUUUUUUUUCCCCUUCUCUCUUUUUCCCAUUUAUAUUUACCUCAUUAUUAAGAAUCUGCAGGGUAUUUUUAAGUUCAUGUGUUGUAUUUUAUGUGUGUGUUCUGCAUUCAGUAAACUGCCGGCCUUUUCCAUAGAAA